GCAACAGUAACCUAGUGGACAUAAUAUUCUCAAUUUAGUAAUUUGGAGCAAUUAGUUUCAUUUAUCUUGCCUGUUGAAACUUAGUUGUGCAUGCCAAAUAUCUUGCUUGGUGACAUAGAUUGACUAACAUGUAGAUGUCAUGGAUUUAAAAGUGGUUUUGGGAAUGUAACAACUAUAAGAUGCUAUUGAAGACUCCUCUCCAAAUCACUGCUGUAACUGAUUCUGUUUUGCUUCAAAAUCUGGUUGAACCUCUGGGCCCCGCUCUCCCAGCCCUCCUUUUUAAGAAAUGU
rnacentral:misc_RNA from 1 species